GGUACACCUUUACAAAAGGAGGGAUUGUGUUGUUAUGGAGAAUGCUAUGCGAGGCAUUUGCCAAACACAAUGAAUUGCUGAAAGCAAAUGGACAAGGGAAUAAUGCACAGUCAUUACAUUCUAACACAGCACACAAACAUCAACUCUUGCCAAAAUACAACACUACACACGGUGCAAGUGAGAGAGUGAGUAUGCAGGAGGAGGUCAGAGCAUGCAGAGGAACAAACAGUAGAAUGAGCUUCCCAAGUCCAGACUGGAUCUGCAGUUAAACACAAGCAUUUUCCUCAGAUUUACUGCCACUACAACUCUAGGACCAGUCUGAUGGGAACAUCAGGCCAAAUUACCACCAGCAAUCCAAGAGUUCUCAAUCCACAGAGCAUCGUUUGAAUUC